GAUGAAGAACGUAGUGAAAUGCGAUAAUUAAUGUGAAUUGCAGAAUUCAGUGAAUCAUCGAGUCUUUGAACGCACAUUGCGCCCCCUGGUAUUCCGGGGGGCAUGCCUGUCCGAGCGUCAUUGCUGCCCUCAAGCACGGCUUGUGUGUUGGGCUUCCGUCCCUGGCAACGGGGACGGGCCCAAAAGGCAGUGGCGGCACCAUGUCUGGUCCUCGAGCGUAUGGGGCUUUGUCACCCGCUCCCGUAGGUCCAGCUGGCAGCUAGCCUCGCAACCAAUCUUUUUAACCAGGUUGACCUCGGAUUAGGUAGGGAUACCCGCUGAACUUAAGCAUAUCAAUAAGCGGAGGA
rnacentral:misc_RNA from 1 species